AUUGAGGCAUGAGUAUAUUUACACAAGCACAUGUAUCAUUUCCAUAGUCAAUGGCCAUCCCUUCAAGAUGUCUGUUGAGUUCAUUUAGUCCAUGACUGUGGGUUCUAUUUGUCCUAGAUGUCUUCCAGGGCAGGAGGGCUGGUGUGCUGUUGGCUGGUUGCAAACUGCAUCAGGAGUUCAUGACUGGUGUAUCUGGAGCAGUCCAUGCUCAUUGUCCAUGGUAGUUAUGGCAUACAGUGGCAGUGUCAUUCAGCAACCAAUAUCAUACAGUUCAACAUUACAGACUAUUCUCCCCCAAA